rnacentral:rRNA from 1 species
AUGACAGUCAGACUGCUUGUGUGGAAUGUUAGGGGUCUGAAUAAUCCGGCCAGGCGCAAUUCUAUCCGCUUAUUUAUGCAAUCUUGUGAUGUGUCCAUGGUUUGCUUCCAAGAAUCUAAGCUAAAUGCUCCGGAUACUUCGAUGGUUAAUCAGACUCUCGGCCCAGAGUUUGAUGGGUUUGAGGCUUUGCUAGCGUAUGGCACCAGAGGAGGAAUUCUGUUAGCCUGGAGAUCAGAUCGUCUUCGGAUCACAAAUGUCCAGAAGCUGGAGUUCUCUAUUUCAGCUACUGUGACCUCCCUGGCGGAUGGCAAAACCUGGCUGGUCACAUCGGUCUAUGGACCGUAG